rnacentral:rRNA from 1 species
UUGAACGCUGGCGGCAGGCCUAACCCAUGCAAGUCGAACGGUAACAGGAAGAAGCUUGCUUCUUUGCUGACGAGUGGCGGACGGGUGAGUAAUGUCUGGGAAACUGCCUGAUGGAGGGGGAUAACUACUGGAAACGGUAGCUAAUACCGCAUAACGUCGCAAGACCAAAGAGGGGGACCUUCGGGCCUCUUGCCAUCGGAUGUGCCCAGAUGGGAUUAGCUAGUAGGUGGGGUAACGGCUCACCUAGGCGACGAUCCCUAGCUGGUCUGAGAGGAUGACCAGCCACACUGGAACUGAGACACGGUCCAGACUCCUACGGGAGGCAGCAGUGGGGAAUAUUGCACAAUGGGCGCAAGCCUGAUGCAGCCAUGCCGCGUGUAUGAAGAAGGCCUUCGGGUUGUAAAGUACUUUCAGCGGGGAGGAAGGGAGUAAAGUUAAUACCUUUACUCAUUGACGUUACCCGCAGAAGAAGCACCGGCUAACUCCGUG